rnacentral:tRNA from 1 species
GGAGAUGGUAGCUCAGUUGGUUAGAGCGCCUGAUUGUGGUUCAGGAGGUCGUGGGUUCGAUCCCCAUUCGUCUCCC